rnacentral:rRNA from 1 species
UACGUAGGGUGCAAGCGUUAAUCGGAAUUACUGGGCGUAAAGCGUGCGCAGGCGGUUAUGUAAGACAGAUGUGAAAUGCCCGGGCUUAACCUGGGAACUGCAUUUGUGACUGCAUGGCUAGAGUUUGGCAGAGGGGGGUAGAAUUCCACGUGUAGCAGUGAAAUGCGUAGAUAUGUGGAGGAACACCGAUGGCGGAGGCAGCCCCCUGGGUCAAGACUGACGCUCAUGCACGAAAGCGUGGGGAGCAAACAGG